CAGCAGCCACGGGAAUACGGAGGGGGCUAGCGUUGUUCGGAAUUACUGGGCGUAAAGCGCACGUAGGCGGCUUUGUAAGUUAGAGGUGAAAGCCCGGAGCUCAACUCCGGAAUUGCCUUUAAGACUGCAGAGCUAGCAGGUGAGAGAGGUGAGUGGAAUUCCGAGUGUAGAGGUGAAAUUCGUAGAUAUUCGGAAGAACACCAGUGGCGAAGGCGGCUCACUGGACUGGUAUUGACGCUGAGGUGCGAAAGCGUGGGGAGCAAACAGGAUUAGAUACCCCCGUAGUCCCUGUCUCUUAUAC
rnacentral:rRNA from 1 species